rnacentral:rRNA from 1 species
UACGUAGGGGGCAAGCGUUGUCCGGAAUUAUUGGGCGUAAAGCGCGCGCAGGCGGUCGUUUAAGUCUGAUGUGAAAGCCCACGGCUCAACCGUGGAGGGUCAUUGGAAACUGGGGGACUUGAGUACAGAAGAGAAGAGUGGAAUUCCACGUGUAGCGGUGAAAUGCGUAGAGAUGUGGAGGAACACCAGUGGCGAAGGCGACUCUUUGGUCUGUAACUGACGCUGAGGCGCGAAAGCGUGGGGAGCAAACAGG